rnacentral:rRNA from 1 species
GGCGGAGCUAGGGCACACUCUAAGCGUAGUAAGCUAUUCUCGCUUCUGUGGUGUACCUGGCUUCCUGCCGUAAAACCCCUA